rnacentral:rRNA from 1 species
AAGGUAUAGUUAAUCUGCCCUACACAAGAGGACAACCUUUGGAAACGACUGCUAAUACUCUAUACUCCUGCUUAACACAAGUUGAGUAGGGAAAGUUUUUCGGUGUAGGAUGAGACUAUAUAGUAUCAGCUAGUUGGUAAGGUAAUGGCUUACCAAGGCUAUGACGCUUAACUGGUCUGAGAGGAUGAUCAGUCACACUGGAACUGAGACACGGUCCAGACUCCUACGGGAGGCAGCAGUAGGGAAUAUUGCGCAAUGGGGGAAACCCUGACGCAGCAACGCCGCGUGGAGGAUGACACUUUUCGGAGCGUAAACUCCUUUUCUUAGGGAAGAAUUCUGACGGUACCUAAGGAAUAAGCACCGGCUAACUCCGUGCCAGCAGCCGCGGUAAUACGGAGGGUGCAAGCGUUACUCGGAAUCACUGGGCGUAAAGGGCGCGUAGGCGGAUUAUCAAGUCUCUUGUGAAAUCUAAUGGCUUAACCAUUAAACUGCUUGGGAAACUGAUAGUCUAGAGUGAGGGAGAGGCAGAUGGAAUUGGUGGUGUAGGGGUAAAAUCCGUAGAUAUCACCAAGAAUACCCAUUGCGAAGGCGAUCUGCUGGAACUCAACUGACGCUAAGGCGCGAAAGCGUGGGGAGCAAACAGGAUUAGAUACCCUGGUAGUCCACGCCCUAAACGAUGUACACUAGUUGUUGGGGUGCUAGUCAUCUCAGUAAUGCAGCUAACGCAUUAAGUGUACCGCCUGGGGAGUACGGUCGCAAGAUUAAAACUCAAAGGAAUAGACGGGGACCCGCACAAGCGGUGGAGCAUGUGGUUUAAUUCGAAGAUACGCGAAGAACCUUACCUGGGCUUGAUAUCCUAAGAACCUUUUAGAGAUAAGAGGGUGCUAGCUUGCUAGAACUUAGAGACAGGUGCUGCACGGCUGUCGUCAGCUCGUGUCGUGAGAUGUUGGGUUAAGUCCCGCAACGAGCGCAACCCACGUAUUUAGUUGCUAACGGUUCGGCCGAGCACUCUAAAUAGACUGCCUUCGUAAGGAGGAGGAAGGUGUGGACGACGUCAAGUCAUCAUGGCCCUUAUGCCCAGGGCGACACACGUGCUACAAUGGCAUAUACAAUGAGACGCAAUACCGCGAGGUGGAGCAAAUCUAUAAAAUAUGUCCCAGUUCGGAUUGUUCUCUGCAACUCGAGAGCAUGAAGCCGGAAUCGCUAGUAAUCGUAGAUCAGCCAUGCUACGGUGAAUACGUUCCCGGGUCUUGUACUCACCACGCGUCACACCAUGGGAGUUGAUU